GAGACGGGUCCUCUUUUAAGCCACGAGGUGAUCGAGCCACGGAGCGACUCCCUCUUGGGUGAGGGACCCUCUAGUCGCGUCCGUAACAGUUUCUGGCGACUGCGGCAGGACGCUUGCUGAUUGUCUCUUUGGUCUGGAGCCCCUCUCGAAGGACAUCCACAGGCGUGCCAAACGGAGCUUUUGUACUCCGAGGAUCUCCAGAGGAGGGAGCCCCGGACUGGUCUCAGUGUGUGUGAUUGCAAGAGAAGGGACUUCUGAGGUGAUGGAGCACCCCUCCAGUGCAAGGCCUCAGUGGUUCCAUCACCCUGGACCACAGCUGAGCGGUGACCUUAGAGAGAAGUCGCAAUAUCCACGGCAACUAGGCCUCCCUCCGGCUUAUCUCACUGUUCUUCAUAAUAAUGGGAAUGAAGGAGACCAAGGUAUCAUGACCUUGCUUCAUAGGUUUGGCUUUAUGGUGAGUGGUGAAAUGUUCUGCACUAUUCUCCCUCCCUGCUGUUCCACCUUUGCCUUGCUGUGUCCUUGUCUAUCCUUGCUUAUUCCUCCUACCUGCUCCCAGUUCCUCCAUCUCUCAUCAGCCUUUCCAACUUUCCUUCUUCCCCAUCAGUAACAUAAUCGCUCUCCUUUCUCUGGGAGGUACCUUGUGCCUGUGGAUCUCCUCCAAAGUCUUGGGUAGCUCACUUCAUGAUGCUCCAGAUGACCAGGCUUUGCCC
rnacentral:lncRNA from 1 species